ACAGGUUCCAUUGACUUUACCUUAUUUCAAAGCGUUCACAUCGUCUAGAUUAUCGCACUCUAAAAUGACAUCUGUGAAGCAACAAUCUUUUGCAAAAUUCAUUCCUAAAUACGCAGCCAAUGCUUCUGCUUCAUGGGCCUGUACGCUGAAAGGGAUGGGCCAUGUAGUUGCAGCUAAGAUGAGGCCCAAAGAGUCUCUCACUAUCGCUCCAAUUACUCUAUGAUCACUCUUCCUAACUGCUGCAUCAACAUUUAUUUUGAAUAGGGAGUUUGGUGGGAUAUUCCAUCUGCUUCUUGAUUUUGCCAGCAGGAGGAAGCUAAAGAGAGACCUCUCCUUUUCCUAGAGCCUUUGCAUCAUCUCAAUUACCCACGUCUUCAAGUUCUGACUCUUUGAUGCUUCGCUCCUCAAAUAAAAAGGGGAUGUAAACCAAAAUCUUCGAGCAAAGGAGCAGUCUCCAGCCAAGUGGGAUUCAGUUUCCUCAUGGCUCCAGCACCUUGUGCACGUCGGAUUUCCUGCUAUACCUCUCCUUGAAAGGUUUCUUCUUUUUUAGAGAUCUUUGGAGUAGACGUCACAGAAAAUUAAGAACUCUUGGUAGAGCUUUUAUCUUCCACACUUCUUUCUAGGUAGUGGACUUAAUCAAAUUGGUACUUUGCAAAGAGCUGGAGAUACUAGAUGGGAGUCUCAUUUGAAUUCUAUUCAUAGCUUGCUAUGCAUGUUUGAUGCUACUUGUGAAGUUCUUGAAAAAAAUACCGAAGAAGGUAAUUUCUCCACUCGUGGUGAUGCUAGUGAUACUUAUGAUGCUAUCACAUCCUUUGAAUUCGUCUUUGUUUUACAUUUGAUGAGAAAUAUUUUGGAAGCUAGUCAUGAUCUUUGUCAAGCUUCACAACAAAAAAAUCAAGACAUAUUAUUGAAUGCUUUAACCUUGGUUUCUACUACCAAGACUUUAAUCCAAAGAAUGAGAGAAUCAAGUUGGGAGACUUUCAUAAAAGAAGUUAUAUUAUUUUGUGAGAAAUAGGAAGUUGAAGUUCCUGAUAUGAAUGCAUUUCAUAUUCUUAGAAGAGGCCGAACUCGCAAAAUUGUUGACCAAAUUUCAGUGGAGCAUCAUUACCAUGUUAAUUUAUUUAUGGCUGUAAUUGAUACAAAAUUGCAAGAGCUUAAUUGAUACACAUGGCUUCGAGCCAUUCUAUUUGAGUAGCUAGGUCCCUUCAUAUCCUCACAUUUCCGCCAUCUCCUAUCCUCAAGUAUCAUCCUUUUUCCACUACACCUUUGGCUUGCUAUAUACUUAUCCAAGUAUAACUUGGUGAGAAGCCUAAGUCUGAGUUCAAAAAGUUUUUUCUCCUAUAGUAUUUUCCCUCAAUAAUCCUGGCAACCAGGGAAUUUGGAUUCUUCAUUAAUCUCCAACCUUGUUUUGCCAAGAGAGCCGUGUUGAAAACCUUAAUGUCUCUGAAUCCUAAGCCCCAUAUUGCUUUGGCUUGCAUAGCUUAUCCCACUUAACUUAGUGUAUCUUCCACUCUCCACUUUUUGAUCUCCAGUAAAAUCUGUUUAUCAUUGAUCCGAUGUGCUGACAUUGGCUUGUCGGUAGUUUGAAAUAACAUAUUAUGUACGUUGGGAU